rnacentral:rRNA from 1 species
UACGUAGGGGGCUAGCGUUGUCCGGAUUUAUUGGGCGUAAAGAGCGUGUAGGCGGCCAGGUAGGUCUGCUGUGAAAACUCGAGGCUCAACCUCGAGACGUCGGCGGAAACCAUCUGGCUAGAGUCCGGAAGAGGAGAGUGGAAUUCCUGGAUGUGAGCGGUGAAAUGCGCAGAUAUCAGGAAGAACACCCGUGGCGAAGGCGGCUCUCUGGGACGGUACUGACGCUGAGACGCGAAAGCGUGGGGAGCGAACAGG